UAGGGAAUAUUGGGCAAUGGUCGAGAGACUGACCCAGCCAUGCCGCGUGAAGGAAGAAGGCUUUCUGAGUUGUAAACUUCUUUUAUCUGAGAAUAAACGAUCCCUGCGGGGAGCAUUGAAUGUAUCAGAGGAAUAAGCACCGGCUAACUCCGUGCCAGCAGCCGCGGUAAUACGGAGGGUGCAAGCGUUGUCCGGAUUUAUUGGGUUUAAAGGGUGCGUAGGCGGUUUAUUAAGUCAGUGUUUAAAGUCAUCAGCUUAACUGGUGGAGUGGCAUUGAUACUGAUAAACUUGAGUAAAGUUGAGGUGGGCGGAAUUUAUGGUGUAGCGGUGAAAUGCAUAGAUACCAUAAAGAACACCGAUUGCGAAGGCAGCUCACUAAGCUUUAACUGACGCUGAGGCA
rnacentral:rRNA from 1 species